GACGAACCGUGCGAACGUUGUUCGGAAUCACUGGGCUUAAAGGGCGCGUAGGCGGGCUCGCAAGUCCGGGGUGAAAGCCCCCAGCUCAACUGGGGAAGCGCCUUGGAUACUGCGAGCCUGGAGGGAGGUAGGGGCGUGCGGAACUUCCGGUGGAGCGGUGAAAUGCGUAGAUAUCGGAAGGAACACCGGUGGCGAAAGCGGCGUGCUGGACCUCUUCUGACGCUGAGGCGCGAAAGCCAGGGGAGCAAACGGG
rnacentral:rRNA from 1 species